rnacentral:sRNA from 1 species
GAAUUCACACUAGACGGAUCUAACGGACUCGAUUUCUACGACGUUAGUCUCGUCGACGGUUACAACGUCCCGAUGCUAGUGGCUCCACAAGGAGGCUCGGGUUUAAACUGUAGCAGCACCGGAUGCGUUGUAGAUCUGAACGGUUCGUGUCCGUCGGAGCUUAAAGUGACGAGUUUAGACGGCAGAGGUAAACAAUCCAUGGGAUGUAAAAGCGCGUGUGAAGCUUUUCGUACGCCGGAGUAUUGUUGCAGCGGCGCCCACGGUACA